rnacentral:rRNA from 1 species
GAUAAGCUGGCAACAGCUUUUCAACUUGAGAGUUUGAUCCUGGCUCAGAACGAACGCUGGCGGCAGGCUUAAC